CAGCAGCCGCGGGAAUACGAAGGGUGCAAGCGUUAAUCGGAAUUACUGGGCGUAAAGCGUGCGUAGGCGGUGAGUUAAGUCUGCUGUGAAAUCCCCGGGCUCAACCUGGGAAUGGCAGUGGAUACUGGCUCGCUAGAGUGUGUCAGAGGAUGGUGGAAUUCCCGGUGCAGCGGUGAAAUGCGUGGAGAUCGGGAGGAACAUCAGUGGCGAAGGCGGCCAUCUGGGACAACGCUGACGCUGAGGCACGAAAGCGUGGGGAGCAAACAGGAUUAGAUACCCCGGUAGUCCCUGUCUCUUAUAC
rnacentral:rRNA from 1 species